AGUGAACGCUGGCGGUGGGCCUAACACAUGCAAGUCGAACGGCAGCACAGUAAGAGCUUGCUCUUACGGGUGGCGAGUGGCGGACGGGUGAGGAAUACAUCGGAAUCUACUUUUUCGUGGGGGAUAACGUAGGGAAACUUACGCUAAUACCGCAUACGACCUACGGGUGAAAGCAGGGGAUCUUCGGACCUUGCGCGAUUGAAUGAGCCGAUGUCGGAUUAGCUAGUUGGCGGGGUAAAGGCCCACCAAGGCGACGAUCCGUAGCUGGUCUGAGAGGAUGAUAAGCCACACUGGAACUGAGACACGGUCCAGACUCCUACGGGAGGCAGCAUUGGGGAAUAUGGGACAAUGGGCGCAAGCCUGAUCCAGCCAUACCGCGUGGGUGAAGAAGGCCUUCGGGUUGUAAAGCCCUUUUGUUGGGAAAGAAAAGCAGCAGGUUAAUACCCCGCUGUUCUGACGGUACCCAAAGAAUAAGCACCGGCUAACUUCGUG
rnacentral:rRNA from 1 species